rnacentral:rRNA from 1 species
GAACGCCCCGCAAGGGGAGUGGCAGACGGGUGAGUAACGCGUGGGAACGUGCCCUAAGGUUCGGAACAACUCCGGGAAACUGGAGCUAAUACCGAAUGUGUCCGAGAGGAGAAAGAUUUAUCGCCUUGGGAUCGGCCCGCGUCAGAUUAGCUAGUUGGUGGGGUAAUGGCCUACCAAGGCGACGAUCUGUAGCUGUUCUGAGAGGAAGAUCAGCCACACUGGGACUGAGACACGGCCCAGACUCCUACGGGAGGCAGCAGUGGGGAAUCUUGGACAAUGGGCGCAAGCCUGAUCCAGCCAUGCCGCGUGAGUGAUGAAGGCCUUAGGGUUGUAAAACUCUUUCGCCGAGGACGAUAAUGACGGUACUCGGAGAAGAAGCUCCGGCUAACUUCGUG